rfam:Spirochaetes bacterium GWB1_27_13 gwb1_scaffold_3245, whole genome shotgun sequence.
GCGCCAAUAGCUCAGGUGGAUAGAGCAACAGCCUUCUAAGCUGUGGGUCCCAAGUUCGAGUCCUGGUUGGCGCA